rnacentral:rRNA from 1 species
UACAGAGGUCUCAAGCGUUGUUCGGAUUCAUUGGGCGUAAAGGGUGCGUAGGUGGCAUGGUAAGUCGGAUGUGAAAUCCCGGGCUCAACCCCGGAACUGCAUUCGAUACUGCUGCGCUAGAGUACUGGAGAGGAGAUUGGAAUUUACGGUGUAGCAGUGAAAUGCGUAGAUAUCGUAAGGAAGACCAGUGGCGAAGGCGGAUCUCUGGACAGUUACUGACACUGAGACACGAAGGCCAGGGGAGCAAACGGG